AGCUGGCCCGAGUGAUCGAUUACCCCGGAUGAAAAGACUCAGAGCUGUGGACUCGUAGCAGGAAGAGCCCUUAGAAACAGGGAACUGCUCUUUUUACAGUUAGGGAUACUGAAGACCAGAGAGGUGCUUGCUUGCCCAAAGUCGCGCAGCUUAGCUUGAAAGUAAAUUAUGGAAGAAUUCUGGUGGGCUUUGGGGUCAGACAGCGUUGAGUUCAAGUCCUGGAUCUAUCACUAUAUUCCUUGGCCUCAUACAUCAAAGAGGAAGAUGGAGCGGAGUCUGUUACUACGCGGAGACCCAGGCUGCAGGAGGAACGGGUGGCAACUGUCUGCGAAAUUGAGCACUUUCUGUCAAAACAAGCAGAAUGUCCUUCGGGUUAGAAGCGACAGUGACUUGCAAGAUGUGCGAAAUGCCCAGUGAGGCUGAGGCCUUGCUUCCAUGUCCCCUUGUGCUGAGACUCAGGUUGAUGGAGCAGCCACCAUCCCCACUGCUGCGGGUUGCUGUGACAGAGGGAAAGUGUGCUCUGGAAGGUCUCUCACUGGUGAUCAACUGGCCCAGAUAUGACAUGUGUCAUGUCCUCUCACAAGUCAUUGGAUGGAAGAAGUCCUGUGGCCCCACACGAGCACAGGGUCCAGAAAGUGCAAUCCUAUUAUGUGCCUGGCAUUUGGUGAACAGUGCUAAGGAAUGUUCCAGGCCUCUUCCAACCGUGAAGUUUUAUAAUUCUUUCAUUCUCAUCGAACUCUGAAUUUUUAUUUCUACAUUUCACUUUGAUUAGGAUUCCUGGCCACUCACCUUCAUCCACCAAGUGCUGGUUGACAAUUCUUUAAGUUCCUCAUGAAUGGGUCUCCUAUACCUUUAUGGUUC
rnacentral:lncRNA from 1 species